AGAAGGAAGAGGAAAUUGAGGAGGGUUAGGGAGAACUUUUUUUUUUUUUUUUGUGGGGAGCGUUUUUUUUCUUGUUCUUGUUUUUGUGGUUUUCUAUCCC
rnacentral:ribozyme from 1 species